AAAAGUGAAAGACGGUCUUGCUGUCACUUAUAGAUGGAUCCGCGCUGCAUUAGCUAGUUGGUAAGGUAACGGCUUACCAAGGCAACGAUGCAUAGCCGACCUGAGAGGGUGAUCGGCCACACUGGAACUGAGACACGGUCCAGACUCCUACGGGAGGCAGCAGUAGGGAAUCUUCCGCAAUGGGCGAAAGCCUGACGGAGCAACGCCGCGUGAGUGAUGAAGGUCUUCGGAUCGUAAAACUCUGUUAUUAGGGAAGAACAUAUGUGUAAGUAACUGUGCACAUCUUGACGGUACCUAAUCAGAAAGCCACGGCUAACUACGUGCCAGCAGCCGCGGUAAUACGUAGGUGGCAAGCGUUAUCCGGAAUUAUUGGGCGUAAAGCGCGCGUAGGCGGUUUUUUAAGUCUGAUGUGAAAGCCCACGGCUCAACCGUGGAGGGUCAUUGGAAACUGGAAAACUUGAGUGCAGAAGAGGAAAGUGGAAUUCCAUGUGUAGCGGUGAAAUGCGCAGAGAUAUGGAGGAACACCAGUGGCGAAGGCGACUUUCUGGUCUGUAACUGACGCUGAUGUGCGAAAGCGUGGGGAUCAAACAGGAUUAGAUACCCUGGUAGUCCACGCCGUAAACGAUGAGUGCUAAGUGUUAGGGGGUUUCCGCCCCUUAGUGCUGCAGCUAACGCAUUAAGCACUCCGCCUGGGGAGUACGACCGCAAGGUUGAAACUCAAAGGAAUUGACGGGGACCCGCACAAGCGGUGGAGCAUGUGGUUUAAUUCGAAGCAACGCGAAGAACCUUACCAAAUCUUGACAUCCUUUGACAACUCUAGAGAUAGAGCCUUCCCCUUCGGGGGACAAAGUGACAGGUGGUGCAUGGUUGUCGUCAGCUCGUGUCGUGAGAUGUUGGGUUAAGUCCCGCAACGAGCGCAACCCUUAAGCUUAGUUGCCAUCAUUAAGUUGGGCACUCUAAGUUGACUGCCGGUGACAAACCGGAGGAAGGUGGGGAUGACGUCAAAUCAUCAUGCCCCUUAUGAUUUGGGCUACACACGUGCUACAAUGGACAAUACAAAGGGCAGCGAAACCGCGAGGUCAAGCAAAUCCCAUAAAGUUGUUCUCAGUUCGGAUUGUAGUCUGCAACUCGACUACAUGAAGCUGGAAUCGCUAGUAAUCGUAGAUCAGCAUGCUACGGUGAAUACGUUCCCGGGUCUUGUACACACCGCCCGUCACACCACGAGAGUUUGUAACACCCGAAGCCGGUGGAGUAACCUUUUAGGAGCUAGCCGUCGAAGGUGGGACAAAUGAUUGGGGUGAAGUCGUAACAAGGUAGCCGUAUCGGAAGGUGCGGCUGGAUCACC
rnacentral:rRNA from 1 species